CUGUCCAUGUGAAGUACCUAAUUGGAAUAUAGAUGAAAUUAGUAGACCAUUAGAUUACUUAUAAAAAGAAGUAAACUUGGCGACAAAGUCAGCUAAUCAAUCACAUAGAAGAUAUAGGAGUGGAGAUGAUGAAAAUUUAGUCUUUUUACGCAAUCUCAAUAACUAACUAAAUGCAUUAAAUUCAGAUCAUUGUCAAAAUCGCGAAGCCAAUUGAUUCUCAUGUUGAAGCUCACAAAGCAACCAGCUUUAAAUCACACAAUCGGAGAUAAUAAUCUCAACUAGAUCCGUUGUUCAUCAUGUAAGUAACGAAUUAAGAGUAUUGAAAAUCUCCAGAUCAAGCAUGGAUUCAAAAAGAGAGAGAGAGACCUUAAGACCAUCGACGGAGAG